rnacentral:tRNA from 1 species
GCAGCUAUAGCUCAGUUGGUUAGAGCGCCAGAUUGUGGCUUUGGAGGUCCCCCGUUCAGCCGGGGUAGCUGUACCA